rnacentral:rRNA from 1 species
UACGUAGGGGGCAAGCGUUGUCCGGAUUUAUUGGGCGUAAAGAGCGUGUAGGCGGCCUGACAGGUCUGCUGUGAAAACUCGAGGCUCAACCUCGAGAUGUCGGCGGAAACCGUCUGGCUAGAGUCCGGAAGAGGAGAGUGGAAUUCCUGGUGUAGCGGUGAAAUGCGCAGAUAUCAGGAAGAACACCUAUGGCGAAGGCAGCUCUCUGGGACGGUCUGACGCUGAGACGCGAAAGCGUGGGGAUCAAACAGG